rnacentral:rRNA from 1 species
UACGUAGGGUGCGAGCGUUAAUCGGAAUUACUGGGCGUAAAGCGUGCGCAGGCGGUUCGUUGUGUCGGUGGUGAAAGCCCCGGGCUUAACCUGGGAAUGGCCGUCGAAACUGGCGAACUGGAGUGUGGCAGAGGGGGGUGGAAUUCCGCGUGUAGCAGUGAAAUGCGUAGAGAUGCGGAGGAACACCGAUGGCGAAGGCAGCCCCCCUGGGCUGACACUGACGCUCAGGCACGAAAGCGUGGGGAGCAAACAGG